GUUUAAUUNNNNNNNNNNNNAAGAACCUUACCUGGCCUUGACAUACAGAGAACUUUCCAGAGAUGGAUUGGUGCCUUCGGGAACUCUGAUACAAAUACUGCAUGGCUGUCGUCAGCUCGUGUCGUGAGAUGUUGGGUUAAGUCCCGCAACGAGCGCAACCCUUUUCCUUAUUUGCCAGCACUUUGGGUGGGAACUUUAAGGAUACUGCCAGUGACAAACUGGAGGAAGGCGGGGACGACGUCAAGUCAUCAUGGCCCUUACGGCCAGGGCUACACACGUGCUACAAUGGUCGGUACAAAGGGUUGCUACUGCGCGAGCAGAUGCUANNNNNNNAAAGCCGAUCGUAGUCCGGAUCGCAGUCUGCAACUCGACUGCGUGAAGUCGGAAUCGCUAGUAAUCGCGGAUCAAAAGGCCGCGGUGAAUACGUUCCCGGGCCUUGUACACA
rnacentral:rRNA from 1 species